rnacentral:lncRNA from 1 species
GUCAUUGAAAAGGAGAGGCGUUGUGACAGCAUGACUUAUCAGGAAAUCUUCGAGAUGGUCUACUGAUAUUGGGGAUUCAGAUAAUUGGGAGUCACCUGGCAUCAAGAAGGUUAAGGACCGGUAUGGUUGCGAUGUGCUGUUUAGCAUCUGCAGAAGAAUUGCAAAUCCGUAGUAAGACUUUGAUCUCAUAUCCGUAACUGCUGCCUGCACAUCGGUGUAGUUGAGACCGUGGACCUGUGGGGAAAGUGGGAAGAGAGCAGAAACAAGGAUGAACAAAAACCAAGGAGCCAUU